rnacentral:rRNA from 1 species
AUUGACCGCUGGCGGCAGGCUUAACACAUGCAAGUCGAACGAGAGGCGGACGGGUGAGUAAUGUAUGGGGAUCUGCCUGAUGGAGGGGGAUAACUACUGGAAACGGUAGCUAAUACCGCAUCCCAUCAGAUGAACCCAGAUGGGAUUAGCUUGUAGGUGCGGUAACGGCUCCCCUAGGCGACGAUCCCUAGCUGGUCUGAGAGGAUGAUCAGCAACACUGGUACGGAGACACGGCCCAGACGCCGACGGGAGGCAGCAGUGGGGAAGAUUGCACAAUGGGCGCAAGCCUGAUGCAGCCAUGCCGCGUGUAUGAAGAAGGCAUUCGGGUUGUAAAGUACUUUCAGUCGGGAGGCGUUACCGACAGAAGAAGCACCGGCUAACUCCGUGCCAGCAGCCGCGGUAAUAC